GACGAACGCUGGCGGCGUGCUUAACACAUGCAAGUCGAACGGAAAGGCCCUGCUUUUGUGGGGUGCUCGAGUGGCGAACGGGUGAGUAACACGUGAGUAACCUGCCCUUGACUUUGGGAUAACUUCAGGAAACUGGGGCUAAUACCGGAUAGGAGCUCCUGCUGCAUGGUGGGGGUUGGAAAGUUUCGGCGGUUGGGGAUGGACUCGCGUCUUAGCAGCUUGUUGGUGGGGUAGUGGCUUACCAAGGCUUUGACGGGUAGCCGGCCUGUGAGGGUGACCGGCCACAUUGGGACGGAGGUACGGCCCAGACGCCUACGGGGGGCAGCAGUGGGGAAAAUUGCACAAUGGGCGGAAGCCUGAUGCAGCAACGCCGCGUGCGGGAUGACGGCCUUCGGGUUGUAAACCGCUUUCUCCUGUGACGAAGCGUUAGUGACGGUAAUGGGUAAAGAAGCACCGGCUAACUACGUG
rnacentral:rRNA from 1 species